GGCUUGGUGGCGUAAUGGUAAUGUGUUCCGUGUCAUUCUAAAACACUUGUAUAUUGUUUGACAGAAAGUCCGGAGUUCAAUUCUUCGUCAAGCCA